rnacentral:rRNA from 1 species
AGUGAACGCUGGCGGUAGGCCUAACACAUGCAAGUCGAACGGCAGCACAGAGGAGCUUGCUCCUUGGGUGGCGAGUGGCGGACGGGUGAGGAAUACAUCGGAAUCUACUCUGUCGUGGGGGAUAACGUAGGGAAACUUACGCUAAUACCGCAUACGACCUACGGGUGAAAGCAGGGGAACUUCGGACCUUGCGCGAUUGAAUGAGCCGAUGUCGGAUUAGCUAGUUGGCGGGGUAAGGGCCCACCAAGGCGACGAUCCGGAGCUGGUCUGAGAGGAUGAUCAGCCACACUGGAACUGAGACACGGUCCAGACUCCUACGGGAGGCAGCAGUGGGGAAUAUUGGACAAUGGGCGCAAGCCUGAUCCAGCCAUACCGCGUGGGUGAAGAAGGCCUUCGGGUUGUAAAGCCCUUUUGUUGGGAAAGAAAUCCAUCUGGUUAAUACCCGGAUGGGAUGACGGUACCCAAAGAAUAAGCACCGGCUAACUUCGUGCCAGCCGCCGCGGUAA